UCCGUUAUGGUGUAGUGGCUAACAUUAUCGCCUCUCAUGAGGACCAUGUCGGUUAUGCAGCGCGAUAGCCCAGGGUUCGAUUCCCUGUAACGGAA